AUGACUGAACCGGUGAAGCUCAUCGGCGCCUUCGGCAGCCCGUUCGUCCACCGUGCGGAGGUGGCCCUGCGCCUCAAGGGAGUCGCUUACCAGCUCAUCACAGAAGACCUCUCCAACAAGAGCGAGCUGCUGCUCAGCCACAACCCCGUCCACCACAGGGUGCCGGUGCUCCUCCACGGCGACAAGGCCAUCUGCGAGUCGCUGGUCAUCCUCGAGUACAUCUACCAGGCCAUUGGCGGCCCGCCGCUCCUGCCAACCGACCCCGGCGAGAGGCCAAGGCCCGCUUCUGGGCCAAGUUCUUUGCCGAAAAGGAUUCGCCAACAAAUUCCAAAUAUAAUCUCAUUAUGCCAUACACGGAAGGUUCUCAUGGAGGAUGCUAAGGAACACUUGGCGAUAGUGGAGACGCAGCUCAAGCAGAAGAGAUUCUUCGGAGGCGCUGCCAUCGGCCUCGUCGACAUUGCCGGCGCCAGCGUGCUGUCCCACUGGGCAGGCGUGCUGCAAGAGGUCGCAGGGAUAACUGUCAUGAGGGAUGACGAGGAUGGAGGACUACAACGCCGACGAAGUUGUCACUAA
rnacentral:rRNA from 1 species